CACUCACGUAAAAAACCAACUAUGGUCUCUAAGCUGGAUUUCAGAAAGGCUUUCGACUCCGUGGCCUGGCCUGCCCUUGACCAAAUCCUGGCAAUACGUGGGUUCUCCACAACCUUCCACAGCUGGACCCAAAACAUUCUCCACACAGGCAAAGCGGCCAUCCUCUUGAACGGGAUUCCAUGCAACUGGAUUCAAUGCAAGAAUGGCUUGCGACAAGGGGAUCCGGUUUCUCCCUACCUCUUUCUCAUCGUCGCCGAUCUGCUUCAACAGCUCAUCCUCCAGAACUCUGAACCUGCCCUCCACCACCCCAUCUUCUCCCACCUGCCUCCCACUGUCCUCCAAUACGCCGAUGAUAUGCUCAUCGUUGCAGCCGCCUCUCCUGCCGCCGCCGCAGCCCUUAAAGUCAUCCUAAACAACUUUGCACACGCCACGGGCCUCGCCAUCAACUUCUCCAAAACUACCCUAGCCACUUUGCACACCGACGACUCCAAGUCUGCUGCCAUUGCCCUCGCCAUGGGGUGCUCAUGCGCCUCCUUCCCGCAAACUUGCCUUGGCCUUCCUCUCGCCCCGAUUAAGCCUCUCACCAAUGCCUUCAACCCCUUGGUAGAACGUUCUAGGAAAUUACUUACGGGCUGGUGA
rnacentral:rRNA from 1 species